rnacentral:rRNA from 1 species
UACGAAGGGGGCGAGCGUUAUUCGGAAUCACUGGGCGUAAAGCGUGCGUAGGCUGUUUGACAAGUUGGGAGUGAAAGCCCAGGGCUCAACCCUGGAAUUGCUCUCAAAACUGUCAGACUCGAGUCCGGGAGAGGAUAGCGGAAUUUCCAGUGUAGUAGUGAAAUACGUAGAUAUUGGAAGGAACACCAGUGGCGCAAGCGGCUAUCUGGACCGGUACUGACGCUGAGGUACGAAAGCGUGGGGAUCAAACAGG